UGUGUGUGUGUGUGUGUGUGUGUGUGUGUAUAUAUAUAUAUAUAUAUACACACACACAUAUACACACAUACACAUA